UCAGUGUGCAUUGUAAGGUUUUUGCUAAUGAGAUGAAAGAAAUUUCAUGGUCAUGUUGAUUACGCUGAAAUUGUCAGUCUGGAUUUCAGCUGAAGAACAGUCUGUUUGAUUACAAAGUCAAUCAAUCACACCCACUGAUACAGAGUCUAAAUUAUCGCGGAAUGACAGGGCAGCCCACAGUGUGUGUUUAGGGCUGCCUUUUGUACUACUUGUGUUAGCACUAAUCACAGUUCUGUUUAGACUCCUCCACACUUUCAUGUGUAUGUUAAUUUGAAGUUGGAGGAGGGGACUGUUUUUGAACAGUGGAUCAUCAGGGACUCAUGGGACACGUACUGGGGAUAGAUGUUUUUAGAAACAUGCUGGUAGGCUGUUAUAAUUUUGUAGGAUAAUGGGGUUGUGCAGUCAAAUUGUCUAAAUCCCCUUCGGGGUGUUGUUCUGACUAGCAGCCUGUAGGUACAUGCAUCAGGCCACCUAGCUUUUGUUCUUCCUGCAGAGGAUGCACCAAUGUCAGAGGGUGUGUCACACUAGAUAAUUGCAAAGCAGACAAUCAGCAACGAGAACUCCCCACGGAUUUUCUUAAAAACUUUUUCAUCCCCUCCAGUGCUUAUUAAAACUCGGGGUUGUUUUGUAACUGCUUUUACCAUAGCAGAGCAGAAUGCAGGUGUGAAUAUUUUUAUUGACAAGUAAAUCUGAUGUGAUCUAGAUGCAAAUAAGAGGAAAGAAACAAACACAAACACUGACUUUUUUACCUACCAAAUCUGGUAAAACUGCUAAUAUAUUUCAAACAGAGACAUGGAAAGUGUAAAUCUGUGUGACAGUUUACACUUAGUAUGCUCCCGUUUGUACACAUACACACUUUUGUGAUCGUGUGUACGUAAUGACCGUGGGUUGUACAGUGCUGUCAGAUGGGCCUAUAAAGGUAAGUGAUGCAGGCUGCCUGAGCCUCCUUCCCUAUGAUGAAUGUUGACAGGGAGCAGAGGCUGAAAUGGUGAACAUCAUCGCCUCACAGCUGCGCUCACACACAUCUCUCAAUGAGAGGCAAAUAAGUAAGGCAGCAUAAUGCUGACAGUGAAUGAAUGCUCAUUUUACCUUUCCCAUAUGUCCGCACCUGUAUCUGACCUUUCAGCUUCCACAGUGUCUUGUAAAGGUAUGCAUAUUUGAACGUUUUGAGAAUUUUUCACAUUGUAACUACAAACCUCUUUGUAUUUUAUAGGGACUUAAUGUGAUGGAGACAUAAGAAAAUGAAAGAAAAUUAUUGUUUUGUUUAGAUUUUUUUCAGAAAUAAAAAUCUGAAAAACCAAAGUCAAUACAAGUCUUUGAGGUUCUGCUUAUGGCCUCUUUGCCCAUGUGGAAGAUGAAAUUUUAACCAUUCUGUGUAAAAUACCUCAAUCUCUGUCAGACAGGGUUGAAAGAUUUUGGGGAUUUCAAUUUUCAAGUUUUUCCAGUGAGCCUCAUUUGAGAUUGAACGCGCACUUUGACUGAGCCAUUGUAGCACGCAUAUGUUGUGAUCUCAACCAUUUCCAUAUAAAUCUGGCUUUAUGUUUAGAGCAAUUUAGAGCAACACAUUUUCUUCUCAGAGUCCAAUGAUUUGUAAAUUUGCCCAAAAGUUUCUUUUUCUUUGCUUUUGACCAGUCAUCAUCUUCAAAAUGCUUGAUUUGCCCACUACACAGUUUAUUUGCAAAUUGCAACAUCAAUUUCUUCUUGAACAGACGAGCUAAUAGUUCACCUUCAGCUUUUUCAAAGGUACAUUGUUUUGGCUGUUUGUCCUAUUAAUGAUCUUCUUGAAACAUCUAUCUGUUUAGGUGAGGCCUUUACAAAAUAGGUGCAGUCAUUAAAAUGAAAGAUUAAGUACAGGUGGAUGUUAUUUGCAUCUGAGGACAAUUAUUUGCAAUGUAUUAAAUUUAAAAUUAUUUGAGUUAAGUGGAAUAUUGCUGUGGCUGAUGCUACUUUGUUUUGGUCUAUCACAUAAAAUCCUGGUUAAAUGCCUUGAGACUUGUUGUAAUCUGCCAAAACCAAAAAAAGUUAAUUGAUUAGUGUAUAUAAUUUUGCAAUGUUCCUUUGUAUGUUCCUUUCCUGCUUGGCCAUCCUGUACAUACAGCCUAGUUUGUUUGCAAAUAUAUGAAACAUUUUAUGUCUCUCACUCAAAAUCAUUAGGAUUGCAAUGAAGAAAAAUUGCCUGCUCUAUUCAUUUAUACAUCAUGAGUAAUAGAAGCCUAAGUUGCUUUGACAGUGUAAUCGCUACUGAAGAGUCAUGGGGCCUUGAGGCAAAGAUAAUGUACAUAAACCACAUUUGUGCAUGCAGUCUUGUAAGACUGGCAAGUAAGUGUGUGUUUAUAUGUUUUUGUCUUUCGCUUUGGAUGAAAGAUGAAGACAGCAGGACAUUUGUAUUCACUUGCAAUGUCAACAACCCACAGUCUCAAUCUGUUACUAUUCAGCAUGAGAUGUGAGAAGUGUACACUGUGAAUAUGUUUUAAAUAAAGGGCAGAAUGCAAUAGCUUGGUCUGGGUAGCUUAGCUUGGAUAACCUUUUGAGUUGUUACAGUAUGAAGAUUAAAACAGGACCUCUUGAUGAUAUGACCUUAUUCGUUAACUCUCUCCUAUGUUGAAAACCCUUUCUGUCUGCCCUUCUUCCCUCGAAAUCCUUUAUCCAACACCUCUCCACCUUUCUUGCACUCCUCCUCCUCCGACUCUCCUGCCAAAUGAAGUAUAUUUAUGGCACCUGUGCUGGAAAAACAGUCUCCAGGAGACGUCCCUCUAAUUUCAUUUUCAAAAUGCCAGCAAUAAAUUUAUCAAAUGGGCUGAAUCGAAUCGGAGUCACACGCAGUGCCAUCCGUCAUGGACUGUCCCUCGGGGCCCUGUGGGCGUACUUAAGCCAGCCAAAAAUCUCUGCUGGCAGAAGAAAAAAAACCCUGAUUGUUGAGAAGGAGAAGGGGGUGUGGAGUGGGUGUGUGAGAGCUGGGUGAUGGGGGUCUUGGAGGAGAAACCAGAUGAAUGGACUGGAGAAAAAAGUGAUAAAAACAAGGGCUUGUAUGCAUAUCUUUAUUGGCUUAUAUCCACAUAUGCAGUAUAAAUUAGCCGUCAGACGAGUGAGGAUGGGCAUGUGUGCACAGAGGUCAGUACAAAUUCUUGAAUGCAUUUCAAAAAGCCAAAGUGCUCAGAUAAGCACUUUGGCUUUCGUGGUGCUGGCAUAACAAUUGAUUUAUUGCAACCCAAUUUAAUUGAUUGUUUUGCUCAAUUUUGCGUCAUUAAAACAUUUCCAGUUUGUUCUUCAAUCCCGCCGCAGUUUUCCAGAACCACAGGUUCACUUGCUCUUUGCUCUCAAAUUCCCUUCCCUUUUCUCCCUGACUCUUCCUCAUGAUCUUUGCUUUCUCUUUUAAUGCUUGCAAACCAGAUUUCUUUUGUUUCACAUCUCCUUCUCUUUGUCUUUCAUUUGUUUUCCUCUCCCCUUCCAUUUAUCACACUGCAGGUUAAACCAGGCGUGAGCACGGGUAAAGUAGCUUAGCACUAACAGUUCUAAUGAAGUCAGGCCCCGUUUUCCUUGAAUGGGGAUCAGUGGAGCUAUUCCGUGAAGCCUGUCAGCAUUUAAUGAUUAGAUGAAACAUUCAGACGCCUGCUAUGAGAAAUUCAGGCACACUGAUAAAUGGUAAUUCCCAAGUGGAGGUCUUUCUUACAUAGAUCUGCAAAACAUUUAUGCAUGCUCACACUUUCUCCUCUGACACAUACACAUGAGCACCGCCACAUGCAUUUUCUGUCCUCCCACUUUGGACAGAUCUAGAUUUAUGAGUUAAACAUGGCGUGGAGGGUAUUAUCAGCAGACUGAUUGGAAGACAAAACAAAUGGCGGAGUGAUUCAGAGAUUGAGCAGUUUGAGCCAUUGAUUCCUGCACAGCAAAUUCAAAAGUGUUAAAUGUUUUGGUGUUAGUAGACUUUAUGCAAAAGCCGAGUUAAUUUUACCCUAAUAGAGUCAUAUACCAUUUAUGUAACUCUGGGAUGUAUAUUAUUAGUAGUUAAAUUCCAAUGUUAAAACAAAGUGUUUCCGUAUCAAAUCUAGAGAUGUUAAAGUGGAAUCAGUAACUCUUGACUUCCUAACUCUGAACUCCUACAGCGACUAUAACACUAGAGGAGUUAAUUCACUGACUCCGCCCCCAGAAUCACAAGUUCCCACCAAAGCGAAGCGACAGAAGUCAAGUCAUUCCAGGACAAUUUACUUUCCACAUGUCUGAGUUAUUCACUGCGCUUGGUAAGUAAUUUUUUUCUGAGAUGGUUUCUAACUAUUAUUUUGAGUUGAGAUCAAGCUGUAUGAUAGACAUCACGUUCGCCACAUGGCUCGGUGUUAACAUAUUUAGCUUAGCAUGCCGAAUGUUUGCGGAGUAUAAGUGUUGGGAAACAAUUUUGUCAGUGAACAUACAGUCAAAUUGUUGGCUAAUGAACAGAUCCGUAAUAAUCUGGAGUAUGUUUUUUCAUGAUGUUGAAUGUUUACAUAAAUACUGGUCAGAUUUAUCAACCUUUCUGAUAUUUUUUUUUCCUUUGAAAAACUGUAAAAUGCUUUCUCAUGUUGAAAGCAUUAUUCCUUCUGUUGUGUCUUAUUAUAUACAUUUUGCAGCAUGUUUUAAUCCUUUUAUUGCCUUUUUCUAUGUAUUAGUACCAGUAUGGUUGCGAAUGAAUCGCCAGUUGUCAGCAAUAACCUCACCCUCCCGAAUCUUCCAUGGAUUCUUCCAAGAUUCAAGCUCCAAAAGUGAUUAUAGACCAACACUGGCUAUCGUACUCGGAGACUGAAGACUGUCCAAUGCAGUAGAGGAGCACGGUGAUGUCCCCGGCCAAACUUCACCAACGGCCCAACAACCCGAAGACAAUCUGUGUUAGUGAGUGGACAGCUUUUUGGGGGAGUGCAGAGAGGCCCAGUCUCUUAUCAACAGAAACAUAAACUGGGUAAGAAGUGAUGGAUCUGAAUAUCAG